UAGAUGUUGAUCCUGUAAGCUGCAUGCCUCUGUCCAGUAAUGAAUUAGCUGUGAGACCCUGCUUAACAAUCUUAAAAGUAGGAACAGAAAGUUGCUCAAAAGACGAUGAACUUUCUUCACUUGUUGGUGUGUCAAGGUCUAAAGGGCGAUGUAAUGAGGAUUUUGAAGUUCUUUUGUUAGUUGGAUGCUUUACUGACCAAUUAAUCACCUGGAACUGCGUAAGAUAGUUUUGGUAACAAGCCAUUACAGGCUGUUGGGAUGUUAUUUGUUCACUUUCUACAGUCUUCUCAGAUUCCAUGACAUAAAUGUUUUCAAUAUGCUCAUCCUCCCCUCCCAGAGCUGAAACAAAUGAAGUCUGUGAAGGAUGAGUCUUAAUUGGCAACGUUUUAACAUCCUGAUUAAUUUCGCCAUGGACAGAACUUGUUAAGGGUCCUUCCACACUGUGAUAAAUAGACCCUCUGCUGUACUCAAUUUUCUGAGCUUGCUUUUUUCUCUUCUUUCUCCCUGGGUAAGUUCCUGGACCUUCAUCACUACUAAUU
rnacentral:lncRNA from 1 species